rnacentral:rRNA from 1 species
CGGCGGAUGGGUGAGUAACGCGUGAGAAAUCUACCAUGCACUAGGGGAUAGCCUCGGGAAACUGGGAAUAAUACCCUAUGACACUUACAUUUCGCAUGAAAAGUAAGUUAAAGCGUUUAGCGGUGCUUGAUGAUCUCGCGUCCCAUUAGUUAGUUGGUGAGGUAAUGGCUCACCAAGACUACGAUGGGUAGCCGGCCUGAGAGGGUGACCGGCCACACUGGAACUGAGACACGGUCCAGACUCCUACGGGAGGCAGCAGUGGGGAAUAUUGCACAAUGGAGGAAACUCUGAUGCAGCGACGCCGCGUGAGCGAUGAAGGUCUUCGGAUCGUAAAGCUCUGUCCUAAGGGAAGAUAGUGACGGUACCUUAGGAGGAAGCCCCGGCUAACUACGUGCCAGCAGCCGCGGUAACACGUAGGGGGCGAGCGUUGUCCGGAAUUACUGGGUGUAAA